rnacentral:lncRNA from 1 species
GUCCUUCUGCAGGGCUCAACCAGCGUGCAGCAAGCACAGUGCUUGUUUUCUGGACAACCCUCACUAUUGCCAAAGGAGGAAAACAAAAAUGAAAUCACCAUCAGCCAGUUCAGCCCCAUGGAUACAGGUCAUCUUGCUAUAAACAAAGCUUAUUAACUGGAUAUUUUCAUGUAAGUAGAAUCUCAAGAUUAUUUUUUUUCUGUGAAGGUGAUACCAUCCUUUAGGUAUUUUUUUAAAACUUCAAAUUCCUUUCCUUCUGCCUGUAUCUCAUCUUUCUCCUAU